rnacentral:rRNA from 1 species
AUUGAACGCUGGCGGCAGGCCUAACACAUGCAAGUCGAACGAGUGGCGGACGGGUGAGUAAUGUCUGGGAAACUGCCUGAUGGAGGGGGAUAACUACUGGAAACGGUAGCUAAUACCGCAUACCAUCGGAUGUGCCCAGAUGGGAUUAGCUAGUGGGGGGGGAAAAGGCUCACUUAGGCGACGAUCCCUAGCUGGUCUGAGAGGAUGACCAACCACAUGGGAACUGAGACACGGUCCAGCCUCCUACGGGAGGUACCAUUGGGGAAUAUUGCACAAUGGGCGCAAGCCUGAUGCAGCCAUGCCGCGUGUAUGAAGAAGGCCUUCGGGUUGUAAAGUACUUUCAGCGGGGAGGCGUUACCCACAGAAGAAGCACCGGCUAACUCCGUGCCAGCAGCCGCGGUAAUAC